rnacentral:lncRNA from 1 species
UUUUCGUUAUUUUAUAUAUGACACUACAUUGUAAAACAACUCUUAAGAGAAUAAAUUAUAAUCAAAAUCAACUAUCUACAGUAAUCAUAAAACAAAAGAAGAGAGAUGUGCUUAAAAAGUCACUUCCAACCAACAUGACCAUGUCUUGUUAAACUCAUGCAUAGGGGAAAAAUAUUCUGAGAUGGAGAAUUGAUUUGUUAGCAAAACUUCCUUUGAGAUAUAUCUGUACUCAGUAGGGACAAUCUGCAAUACAAUAAAAAGAACACUUGGAUGAGAGAUUUCAAGAUUAAAACAACUACUUUUUAAAGGAAUAAAAGAAAAGAAAGAUAAAGGGGCAAACUAAUGUUCCAUCUUUACCAUAGAAGUAGUAUAAGUGAAUGUGUUAAAAUGCAACAUGAAAUAACCUGUUACUAUUUAACGAAACUCCAAUAAAAGUUUCCACUUGUGUUGGAAACUCUCAGAUUCAAACAAAUUUCUAAUUUACACAUUUUUCCAAUACCCAAACGUUCCAUGCAUCAAAACCCAUAAUCAAAUCUACUAAAUAUAGUUAAAAUACCCAAAAAAAUAAAAACUUCAAAAAAAAGUUCAGGUUUUGAUUUGCAUAAUCAAAUCUAUUAUAUAUAGAUAAAAUAUCCAUUAAACAAAAACUUUAAAGAAAAGUUUAGGUUUUGAUUUUCAUAAUCACAUCUACUAAAGAUAGCUAAAAUGCUUAAAAAAAUAAAAACUUCAAAGAAAGUUUGGCUUUUCAUCUAUUUUGUAAAUUUCUAACAGGAUUCUUCACCGACUGUCUCCUGAACUAUUCUUCAUCUCUUUUUGAAUCCAUUACAACUUUCAAAAAGUAGACUUUCAUCUCUUUUUUUUCUUUUCCGUUUUUUUCCCUUCUCUAAACAAAACAAGCUCACAAAAAAAAGGUUAAUUAACAGUUAUAGUAUAUGCAUGCAAAUAGAGCGACCAGAAGACAUGGAAGAGUAGACGACUUGUUGAGAAGGCUGGACGAUUUGAUUAAGAAAGAAAUUUUUGAAUGUCCCAUACAGGGAAAAAGAUAAGAAAAAAAGAACCUAUACAAGAAGAAAAAGAAAUGAGUCUGAGCAUAAGAAAGAAAAACACAACAC